rnacentral:rRNA from 1 species
AAAUACAACAGAACCUUCGGGUGACGUUUGUUAUGGAUCGAGCGGCGAACGGGUGAGUAACACGUGGGCAACCUGCCUACAAGACUAGGAUAACUCCGGGAAACCGGGGCUAAUACCGGCUAAUCCAUCGAACCGCAUGGUUCGAUGUUGAAAGAUGGCUUUUAGCUAUCACUUGUAGAUGGGCCCGCGGCGCAUUAGCUAGUUGGUAGGGUAAUGGCCUACCAAGGCAACGAUGCGUAGCCGACCUGAGAGGGUGAUCGGCCACACUGGGACUGAGACACGGCCCAGACUCCUACGGGAGGCAGCAGUAGGGAAUCUUCCGCAAUGGACGAAAGUCUGACGGAGCAACGCCGCGUGAACGAUGAAGGUUUUCGGAUCGUAAAGUUCUGUUGUUAGGGAAGAACAAGUACCGUUCGAAUAGGGCGGUACCUUGACGGUACCUAACGAGAAAGCCCCGGCUAACUACGUGCCAGCAGCCGCGGUAAU